rnacentral:rRNA from 1 species
AGAGAACGCUGGCGGCAGGCUUAACACAUGCAAGUCGAACGGGCUUCUUCGGAAGUCAGUGGCAGACGGGUGAGUAACACGUGGGAACGUGCCCUUCGGUUCGGAAUAACUCAGGGAAACUUGAGCUAAUACCGGAUACGCCCUUAUGGGGAAAGGUUUACUGCCGAAGGAUCGGCCCGCGUCUGAUUAGCUUGUUGGUGGGGUAACGGCCUACCAAGGCGACGAUCAGUAGCUGGUCUGAGAGGAUGAUCAGCCACACUGGGACUGAGACACGGCCCAGACUCCUACGGGAGGCAGCAGUGGGGAAUAGUGGACAAUGGGCGCAAGCCUGAUCCAGCCAUGCCGCGUGAGUGAUGAAGGCCUUAGGGUUGUAAAGCUCUUUUGUCCGGGACGAUAAUGACGGUACCGGAAGAAUAAGCCCCGGCUAACUUCGUG